rnacentral:lncRNA from 1 species
GGGGGGUCCGUGUGUCUGUGGUCUGUGUGAUCGACGUAUGUGAUCUGUGUGUGUCAUCUGUAUACGUGCGGUCUGUGGUCUGUGUGUGUGAUGUGUGUGUGUCUGUGUCAUCUGUGUGAUCGAGGUGUGCGAUCUGUGUGUGUGCAAGCAAGCUUCCCCCUCCCCCCCAUACACACAGCCCGCGUCCAGCUCAGCGAGGCCGCCCCCCGGCUCCUGAUAACGUGGGGGGUCUCCCACCCCGCCAGGGCUCCCAGCCCUGGCCGGGCAGCUGCCCAGAGCCGACCCCGCGGCCCCCCGCAGCUGCAGCGGCGCCUCCAGCGCGGAUGAGGCGGCUCCAGAUGGCGGGUCCUGCGCCGCCGCGCCGGCCGGCUGCACGGGGCCGGCCGAGAUACAGAUAUACAAGGAAAACUAAAGGUUUCAAAUGCUAUUCAGUGCCUCCUCAUUUGUCCCGGAGCCCUAACAGUGGUGCCCUUUCUCUUCUGGCUGCUUUUCCCUGCUUCUGGAGCAGCAGUUAUGGUAGAAGCAGAUGGCUACUGAUUGGGGGCUUCCACCUCCGGCGGCUGCAGCGGCGCGGAGCGGGCGCUGUCCGAUCAGAACCAGGCUGCUCUCGGGUGAGUGCUGCCCCCCUCCGCACCCGUGGGUGCGCAGCUCCCCCCUUUGCUCCCGGACCACAGGCUGCAGCUUCAGAGGC